rnacentral:rRNA from 1 species
GCCACUGCUAUUGGGGUUUGGCUAAGCCAUGCGAGUGGAGGGCGUCCCGCAAGGGAUGGCCCCGCAGACGGCUCAGUAACACGUCGUCAACCCACCUUAGGGUGGGGGACAACCUCGGGAAACUGAGGAUAAUCCCCCAUAGGCGGGGGAGGCUGGAAUGCGCCCCCGCUGAAAGCUCAGGCGCCCUAGGACGGGACGGCGGCCUAUCAGGUAGUUGGUGGUGUGACG